AGAGUUUGAUCAUGGCUCAGAACGAACGCUGGCGGCGUGGAUAAGACAUGCAAGUCGAACGGGACACCAUGAGUAGCAAUACAAGUGGUGUCUAGUGGCGAACGGGUGCGUAACACGUGGAUACAUUCCGGGAAGCGGGGGAUAGCCCAGGGAAACUUGGAUUAAUACCGCAUGUGGUCGAAAGACUAAAGGCAGGGACCGCAAGGCCUGCCACUUCCCGAUUGGUCCGCGGCCUAUCAGCUAGUUGGCGGGGUAAAAGCCCACCAAGGCUACGACGGGUAGCUGGUCUUAGAGGACGACCAGCCACACUGGAACUGAGACACGGUCCAGACACCUACGGGUGGCAGCAGUCGAGAAUCUUUCACAAUGGGGGCAACCCUGAUGGAGCGACGCCGCGUGGAGGAUAAGGUCUUCGGAUUGUAAACUCCUGUCAUGUGUGAACAAGGUUGUCGUGUUAAUAGCAUGGCAAAUUGAUGGUAACACAAGAGGAAGAGACGGCUAACUCUGUGCCAGCAGCCGCGGUAAUACAGAGGUCUCAAGCGUUGUUCGGAAUCACUGGG
rnacentral:rRNA from 1 species